rfam:Oryza sativa Japonica Group DNA, chromosome 4, cultivar: Nipponbare, complete sequence.
AAAAAGACAAACCUUUGGUUUUCGUGUACAACGUUUGACUGUCCGUGUUAUAUGAAAAUUUUUUAUAAUUAGUAUUUUUAUUGUUGUUAGAUGAUAAAACAUGAUUAAUACUUUAUGCGUGACUUGUCUUUUUAUUUUUUUUUCAUAAUUUUUUUAAACAAGACGGACGGUCAAAUGUUAGACAUGGAAACCCAGGGUUUGUCUUUUU